GACGAACGCUGGCGGCGUGCUUAACACAUGCAAGUCGAACGAGUGGCGAACGGGUGAGUAACGCGUAGGUAACUGCCUAUUAGAGGGGGAUAACUAUUGGAAACGAUAGCUAAUACCGCAUACUAGUAGAUGGACCUGCGUUGUAUUAGCUAGUAGGUAGGGUAAUGGCCUACCUAGGCGACGAUACAUAGCCGACCUGAGAGGGUGAUCGGCCACACUGGGACUGAGACACGGCCCAGACUCCUACGGGAGGCAGCAGUAGGGAAUCUUCGGCAAUGGACGAAAGUCUGACCGAGCAACGCCGCGUGAGUGAAGAAGGUUUUCGGAUCGUAAAACUCUGUUGUUAGAGAAGCGGUAUCUAACCAGAAAGCCACGGCUAACUACGUGCCAGCAGCCGCGGUAAUUC
rnacentral:rRNA from 1 species